CUGAAAAAGAAGCUAACCAUUUAAAGUAUCUCCAUCCAUUGGUUUUGUGAUGAAGUGCUGCAACCAUAAAUGAAAAUACCAAUCUGUCCUUGUGAGGUCUUUUGCAGUUCAUCGAGACACACUGUCUUACAGGAUGGAACGGCAAAUGAUUACGGAAAAGACGAUCCGGGAAGCAAUAUCCCAUCUUCAGCCAGAGGAGAACAGUUCUCAUAGGGGGCAGCAUGAAAAAGACAGUCGCAGUGAUAUAAGUUGUUUUUUGCGGAGGAUAAAG